AUGGCGGUGCUGCUGGAGACCACCCUGGGCGACCUGGUCGUCGACUUGUACAGCGAGGAGCGGCCCAGAGCUUGUUUGAAUUUUCUGAAGUUGUGCAAAAUAAAAUACUACAAUUACUGCCUGAUUCAUAAUGUUCAGAGAGAUUUUAUCAUUCAAACUGGUGACCCUUUGGGGACGGGCCGAGGAGGCGAGUCGGUGUUUUGUAAACUGUACGGUGACCAGGCUAGCUUUUUUGAAGCGGAAAAAGUGCCGCGUAUUAAGCACAAGAAAAAGGGCACUGUGUCAAUGGUGAACAAUGGCAGUGAUCAACACGGGUCUCAGUUUCUUAUUACUACAGGGGAAAAUCUUGAUUACCUCGAUGGUGUACACACAGUUUUUGGUGAGGUAACGGAAGGCAUGGAUGUACUGAUGAAAAUAAAUGAGACCUUUGUGGAUAAGGAAUUCGUACCUUAUCAGGACAUAAGGAUAAACCAUACAGUGAUUCUAGAUGACCCAUUUGAUGAUCCACCCGGCUUACCAAUUCCUGAUCGCUCACCGGAUCCCACCAAGGAGCAAUUAAACAGUGGCCGAAUAGGAGCAGAUGAAGAGAUCGAUGAUUUCAAAGGAAAGUCCGUUGAAGAAGUGGAAGAAAUCAUGGCAGAGAAAGAGGCAAAGACCCAGGCAAUUCUUUUGGAAAUGGUGGGGGAUUUACCGGAUGCCGAUAUAAAACCUCCAGAAAAUGUGCUUUUUGUGUGUAAAUUGAAUCCUGUGACUACAGAUGAAGACCUAGAGAUAAUAUUCUCAAGAUUUGGGUCCAUAAAAAGCUGUGAAGUUAUUCGAGACUGGAAGACAGGAGAAUCUCUUUGUUAUGCCUUUAUUGAGUUUGAAAAGGAAGAAGAUUGUGAGAAAGCCUACUUCAAGAUGGAUAACGUGCUUAUAGAUGACAGAAGAAUUCAUGUAGAUUUUAGCCAGUCCGUUGCAAAGAUCAAAUGGAGAGGGAAAGGUGGGAAAUACACAAAAGAUGAUUUCAAGGAUUACGAAAAGGAACGUGACAAAACUUCCAAAUUAGCUCUAAAGGAGAAAGUAAAGCCCAAACAGGAUGCAAAAUAUGACCUUAUUCUGGAUGAAGAGAGGGAAGAUUCCAGAACGCAUCACUCCUGCCCAGGCAAAAAACACAAGAAGAAAAAACACUCCCAUUCUGAUGAAGAGGAGGAUGUCGGGCAAAUCAGGAAGCACAAGGACGCGGGUAAAGAGCCGGGACGCCGGAACUACGAUGAGGAAUGUUUUCGGGAGAAACGAAAAGGUGAAAGGAAAAACAGGCAUCAAAGCCGCAGUCGCAGCCGAUCUCGGGACAGAGACAAACGACAUGCCUACGGUAAAUCUAAAGACAGAGCCGAAGAAGAACCCCGAGAGAGAGAGAAGAGGAGGGACAGAAGUAGAACCCCUAAGAAGUCCAAAGACAAAGAACGAUCUAAGAACAGAUGAGGAAAAAGGACGUGGAAGAAGGUGGCUGGUAUAUGAAUUCUAAUCCCGUGUCUGUCAUCGUCCUGCUGGUGGAUUUUCUGAACUGUUGGCCCCCACCUUUGAUGGCCCCAUUUGUGGGUGGACUUGCCUCCAAACAAGGGACCCUACUACUCCCACACAAUAAAUUCCAAGAUAGUGGCACCUGUCAAAAUCUCCCGGACAGAUCGGUCCCAGAACACCUAUAGGAAAGCCCUACUGCACCCUCCAACUCCCUGGAGCUAUCAGAGCAGCUCUUCAGUCACUGAAUCAAAGCAGUUAAAUACCAUUCCUGCCACCAGCAUGCUUGAUUUAUUUCUCUUGGGUUAUAUGGAUGUUCAAGAUGAUCGCCGCCGUUUUAAUAGUAAGCCGCCGAGGCCGACACCGGAGAGAUAAUGAAGGUUAGAGAGACAGGAACUUUUCGCCUGAAACAGCAGUUCCUUAAAGAAGUCGGAACCACGAAGGAGCGUCGCCUCCCUUGCCAUCCCCUUGAGACUCUGGCCUGGCCCGGCACGCCGUCUCUCCGAAGACCAUCAAGAAACUGAGGAAUGGAUGAAAGAGCUUCAGGG